AACAACUUAGACAUGUGACUGUAAU
rnacentral:piRNA from 1 species